ensembl:lncRNA
AAUGUCCUCCUGUGUGAAGAUCAGUGGAUCAGGUGGAUGAUGGCACAACCCGACCAAAGAAGCAGGAGAUUUUAAGCAGAGGAAAACUCUGAAGUUGUUUCAGCAGGACACUUUCAAGAUGAUGCAAGUUGAUACAAAAUACCGAAGACAUCAAAAAUCUGCAGCUUGCAGAGUGGAGGAGUGGGGCCUUCAGCUGAAAUUGGCCAGCUCUGCGGCUUCUCAUCACUGGGCAAGAGAUUGGUGCCGUUCCUCAGUCAGCUCUGAAGAGCUCUCCUCAUCGCUGAAGACCACAAGGUUACACCCAUGGCAGGCGCCUAUCAGUCAAUCUGCAAUAAUAGAAUAAUUGCGUAAUUAACAGGGAGGAAAAUUGCCCCGGGCGUGAACGCUCAGUCUCUGCCAUUAAAGGAGAUCAUAGGGCCAUAAUUAGGUCCUUGCCGGCCACUAAUUGUCCUGCCGUUAUGGCAUUGGGGUGUUUCUGUUAUUUAUAAUGAGGGCGCACACUCACCCACAGAGCAGGGUCACACUCUAGCACACUCGGGGGUCCGUUUUGGAGAAGGCCUACUGUGUGUGUUUAUGAUGGAUAGUGAGAGAAUGAGAGGGGAAGAGACAAUGAAAACUAAAAUAUUAAAGCAAUAAGCUACAAACGAACUGGCCACAUUUUGUCUGAAAUGUAAAUUACUCGAUAUUAUUGCUUUUUUAUUGAUAUUACUACUUUUAUACAACAGUUUUGCAAGCAUGAUCUUAUUCAAAAUCAACCCACCAUUUCAACCCAGGCUUAUUGGAAAAACAUGUCUUUGGCGACAUUGCUGCAAAAUGAUAUUCCUUUGCUUCUUGAAUGUUUCGCAACACUUUCCAAGUGAAUUGUCCAGUUAGUGGUGCUAAAAGCGUUUUCUGUUUUAUCCAAAACAGAUUAAGGCAAAUCUGGCAACUUUUUAUUAUGCUGGUAGUUGUAUGCAUCGCAGCAGUUCAGAAUAAUGGCAGUUAAAUGUUCUAUCGCAUAAAAAUAACUUUCCACAUACACUAAAUCUACCCUAAACCUAGCUGAUAAUGUUAUCCAACGCAAAUGUGAGAUGAAAAACCUGAGUUGCUAAAGCAACCAUGCCAUUUUAGCUCGUUUCUAAUCAUCACACUUUCAUUCGAAGGUUUCGUACCUAAAUGCUCUACAUCGCAAUUACAGUGCUGUACCAGGUGAUCUUCUGAGCAAGUUUACCUAGUCCAAAAAUUCAUGGACAUGUUUUUGAGAUGCAAAUAUUAAAAUGGAUUUGUUUGCAAAUUAUGCACUAUGAUAAUAGGGUUUUGAGGUCAUUACACAUUAUUGUUCAAGGAACUGCGCAAAAAUAAGUCUUUAUUAGUUGCUAAUCUUCCCUGUAAAUAAAACUUGUGUGAAUGGGAAUAAACA